AGAGUUUGAUCAUGGCUCAGAAUCAACGCUGGCGGCGCGCCUAACACAUGCAAGUCGAACGAGAAAGUGGAGCAAUCCAUGAGUACAGUGGCGUACGGGUGAGUAACACGUGGGUAAUCUACCUUUUAGUGAGGAAUAACCGAGGGAAACUUUGGCUAAUACCGCAUAAGCCUGAGAAGGGAAAGCAGAAAUGCGCUGAAAGAGGAGCCCGCGGCCGAUUAGCUAGUUGGUAGGGUAAGAGCCUACCAAGGCAGAGAUCGGUAGCCGGCCUGAGAGGGCACACGGCCACACUGGCACUGAAACACGGGCCAGACUCCUACGGGAGGCAGCAGUGGGGAAUCUUGCACAAUGGGGGAAACCCUGAUGCAGCGACGCCGCGUGAGCGAUGAAGCCCUUCGGGGUGUAAAGCUCUUUCGUCAGGGAAGAUAGUGACGGUACCUGGAGAAGCAGCUGCGGCUAACUACGUGCCAGCAGCCACGGUAAUACGUAGGCAGCAAGCGUUGUUCGGAGUUACUGGGCGUAAAGGGUGUGUAGGCGGUUCCUUAAGUUUGCUGUGAAAUCUCCCGGCUUAACCGGGAGGGUGCGGUGAAUACUGAGGGACUAGAGUACGGGAGAGGAAAGUGGAAUUCCUGGUGUAGCGGUGAAAUGCGUAGAUAUCAGGAGGAACACCGGUGGUGUAGACGGCUUUCUGGACCGUAACUGACGCUGAGACACGAAAGCGUGGGUAGCAAACAGGAUUAGAUACCCUAGUAGUCC
rnacentral:rRNA from 1 species